GGCAAAGACUCGACACCUUGGGUUCAAUGAAGUGUGAGGCCAACCCUAAGAACGAGCCUCAGUGGCGUGAACCCCUUUUAAACCUUGACGACAUAAUAAAACUUAUAAGUUAGUAAAUUUUUGGAUUUUUGAUUGUUCAUAGCUUAUACAGUCACAAGGAGGUCUUUCUCAGGGAACUUGUAAGGAGGUGGUGGUGAGCUUGAGAUGCGGAUCAAGCUUGAUCCUGACAAUGGAACCAUCUGUAGAAGCCGGAAACCGAAUUGAAAUAACAGUAAUAAAUAAAGCGAUAUUAAGGAAAGAAACGAUUGUAAAACUCCGAUAGAA